GGCAGAGGCCACGAACGUUGUUCGGAAUCACUGGGCAUAAAGCGCACGUAGGCGGCUGGGUCCGUCCGAUGUGAAAGCCCCCGGCUCAACCGGGGAAUUGCAUCGGAUACAGCCCGGCUUGAGGACGGUUGGGGUGAGUGGAACUCCUGGUGGAGCGGUGAAAUGCGUAGAUAUCAGGAGGAACACCGGUGGCGAAAGCGGCUCACUGGACCGUAACUGACGCUGAGGUGCGAAAGCUAGGGGAGCAAACGGG
rnacentral:rRNA from 1 species